rnacentral:rRNA from 1 species
UACAGAGGGUGCAAGCGUUGCUCGGAAUCAUUGGGCGUAAAGGGUAGGUAGGUGGUCUCAUUUGUCUGGGGUGAAAGCCUCGAGCUUAACUCGAGAAGUGCCCCGGAAACGGUGAGACUGGAGUCUUGGAGAGGGUCGUGGAAUUCCCGGUGUAGCGGUGAAAUGCGUAGAGAUCGGGAGGAAGGCCGGUGGCGAAGGCGGCGCUCUGGAACAUUUCUGACGCUGAGGCUCGAAAGCGUGGGGAGCAAACAGG